GUUAACUGAGGAUUAGGGGUCUUUCUCUGGUUUUGAACUGGAGAGAUAGGCUGCUUUUCCUUAGUGACUGAUACUACCCUAUACUACCCUGAAUUUUCUAUCCUGUCUUGCUGUUUGGUUGCCCUGUUCUUCUGCUACUCUGCUGCUCUGGGAAGAAACCUCUAUCCACUAAUGAAAAGAUAAUGGCUAUAUUCUGAUUCACAUCACAUAAUUGAAGGACCUUAACAGGUUGAGCUCAGAGGUAUGCUCUUCUCUCCUCUUUGUCAGAAGAGAAAGUACCAAGAUUUAAACUGUCCAGCUGCUUUUCUCAGCUAGAGGUUCUAGUCCAUUCCCCACUGGCAAGCAACAUUCCAUCAUCUUCCUUCACGGUGUUUUUGUAAUCAAGUCUUUGCAAUGAAGUCUACAAUCCAUUCUUCCACAAGAUGAACAAAGAAGUCACUAAGCAGGUGGAUGGCAGAUGGACAUUCUUAACAACCUCUUUUACAAGUUCCCAAAGGAGAGAAAAGAAACAUGUUGCUAAGAGGAAGAGCAAGUGCCAGAUGGAAAUGGACUUAGUACGGAUGAAAAUAUCUAUAGUAUAAAUUCUUGAUACCCCUCACACCUGUGUGGUGGCUUCUAACAGCUCUCCGCUGCCUUAUGAAGCUAUUUCCAUUUUAAUGGAAAAUCAGCUUGGCAGGGAAGAGAGUUAAAAAUUCAUAAGAUUAAAUACUAUGCUCAUCUUUCCCUGUAGAAGAGUGCUUCAAUUCUUCUCUCUUUUGAUUUAUUGAAAUAAUAUAUUUUGGAGUCAGAGGACCUGGAUUCAAAUCUUUCCACUUAUUCCUAAUAGCUAAAUGUCUUUAUUGUUUUAAAGAGUAGGAAAUUUUAUUAUUAAAAUGCAUGUCUUCCAUGAAAGAAUACUGGAACCUAUACUUGAAUAAGUAAAUAGAUUUUGGAC
rnacentral:lncRNA from 1 species